rnacentral:lncRNA from 1 species
AAAACAGGCCAUUGAUUAAACAAAGACAACUUUAUUCCUAGGUGGUGCAUGCCUGUAGUCCUAGCUACUUGGGAGGUUGAGGGGGAAGGCUUGCGUGAGCCCAGGAGUUUGAGUCUGCAAUGAGCUAUGACUGUGCUGCUGCCCUCUCGCCUAGGCAACAGAGCAAGACCCUGACUCUAAAAUUUAAAAGUACAUAAAAAUUUUGGAAACUAGCUGAGGGAAACCAAUGUUCCAUUGUGAUGGCUGAUGUCAGCCUUCUGCUUACCAAUUCGUGCAUUUAUUUUAUAAAUUAAGUAAUAUCCUACAUGGCUGUCCAUCUGUCUCAACCCUAGGAAUACUCAAAUCUACUAAUUGUUGCCAAAAAUAUUUAUGGGUCAAGGCACCUUGAUUGUCGUACUGGCAUUGCUGCCCAUUAUGGUAAUUGUAUUUACCUUUGCUCUGUUAGUUGAGUGUUAUUAUUUGGCUUCUGGUAUUCUGGAAUUCCAUCAACCCUUUUGAUACUAGAGAUCCGUGUUCCAUGGCAGUAUCCCCCACUCUUGGC